AAGUCGUAACAAGGUCUCCGUAGGGUGAACCCUGCCGGAAGGGGAUCAAUUAUCCGAGUGAGGGGCGCCUCCGGCCCCCGGACCUCCCAACCCUUUUUGUGAUGUCAGACCGUGUUGCCUCGGGGGCGACCCGGACCGUUUCGGCGUUCGGGGCCCCCGGUGGAGCCCCCCUUUCAAACACCUGCAUUGUUGCGGUGGUUUAUUAUGAUGAAUCAAUCCAAAACUUUCAAACAACGGAUCUCUUGGUUCUGGCAUCGGAUGAAGAACGCAGCGAAAUGCGAUAAGUAAUGUGAAUUGCAGAAUUCAGUGAAUCAUCGAAUCUUUGAACGCACAUUGCGCCCCCUGGCAUUCCGGGGGGCAUGCCCGUUCGAGCGUCAUUACACCACUCAAGCCUGGCUUGGUAUUGGGGGCGUCGGGAUGCCACCCGCGCCUCUCAUGUUUGUUCGGCUGGACGGUUGGAAUCUCAGCGUUGGUGCAAUUCAAUCCGCUGUGGGACCCGACUGGACGCGCCGUGAAAAUCUCAUCCACAGGUUGACCUCCGGGAUCGGGUAGGGAUACCCGCCUGAACUUAA
rnacentral:rRNA from 1 species